AGUGUUUCUGCCUAAGUGACACUCUCCAUAAAUCCCACUAGACGGACCACAGCACCCUGGAGUACUGGGGUAGCGAUGAACCCCUCUAGAACCUGAGUUGGGCUCGAUGGAACAGACUAGGCUGGAACCUUAUCAUCAACCUCAGGCUCUUCCAUUGGUGCUGCUCUAGGUUGAGCCCCGCCCCUGCCUCGGCCUCUAGAACGACCUCCACCUCAUCCUCUGCCCCUCGUAGGAG
rnacentral:lncRNA from 1 species